rnacentral:rRNA from 1 species
GACGAACGCUGGCGGCGUGCUUAACACAUGCAAGUCGAACGGGUCUGCCCUGUUUUUUGCGGGGUGGGUCAGUGGCGAACGGGUGAGUAACACGUGAGUAACCUGCCCCUCACUUCUGGAUAACCGCUUGAAAGGGUGGCUAAUACGGGGUGUUCUGGCUGUGCCGCAUGGUGUGGCUGGGAAAGAUUCACUUUUGUGGUGUUUUGGUGGGGGAUGGGCUCGCGGCCUAUCAGCUUGUUGGUGGGGUGAUGGCCUGCCAAGGCUUUGACGGGUAGCCGGCCUGGGGGGGUGGGCGGUCACACUGGGGCUGAGAUACGGCCCAGACUCCUGCGGGAGGCAGCAGUGGGGGGUAUUGCACGAUGGGCGGAAGCCUGAUGCAGCGACGUCGCGUGAGGGAUGGAGGCCUUCGGGUUGUGAACCUCUUUCGCCGGUGAAGAAGGUCCUGCUCUUUGUGGUGGGGUUGACGGUAGCCGGGUUAUGAAGCGCCGGCUAACUACGUG